AGUAUAGCUUAUGUUGGUGAUUGUAUUCUGUAUGCACGUUGAUAAAGUUUUACUGGCACAAAGCUCAGUGUCGGAGUGGUCUAUGCCUAAUUGCCGGUUCAGGAUGCAGUGACAAGUGGCAGUUCAUCUGAACCUGGCCCCAUCAGAGGAGGAGAGGGUUGGUGGGACUUAACAAACCCAAGACUUCCCCAGACUCAUCCGUGUAGCAGUACCUAUUUAAACCCUUUCCUGGCAAGGGCAGGAGCCGAAGGGUGAGAACAAAAGGGCUCUCGUCUUGUGGCUCUCAGCCUGGGGCGAGCAGCCUGAGCACAAGAUUCUGGCCUAUAAGGCAUUAGUGGAGUGUGCCAGCUGACUGGUGGGGAAGAAAUGUAUAGUCGCUGGAUGAUUUCAACACAAUCCAUCUUCAAAUCCCCAUCCAUGGACAUACAACUUGUGCUACUGCAGAUCACUUUGCGCCUUAUCCUCAGGAUGACAUUGUUACCCCCUGUUGGGUGGAGGUGGAAUGAUUGGGUGUGCUCGCUGGCGACAGGAGGGAGCUCCAGGGGUGGGAGUGUGUAGUGUUGCCCCACCUUUGGAGAGAGCGUAUGUUUAGGUGGUAGCAGCAGAAGUGGGAGUGAUGCUGCGACCUGUACGCACACACUCGUGUGUUUGGUGGGUUGGGUUGCUUGUCUUCCUGGUAUAUUUGUGUUUGAAUCUGUUAGCAGUGAUUAUGAUU